GACGAACGCUGGCGGCGUGCUUAACACAUGCAAGUCGAACGGUGAAAGAAGAGCUUGCUCUUCUGGAUCAGUGGCGAACGGGUGAGUAACACGUGAGUAACCUGCCCCUGACUCUGGAAUAAGCGCUGGAAACGGCGUCUAAUACCGGAUACGAGACAGAGCUGCAUGGCUACUGUCUGGAAAGUUUUUCGGUCUGGGUUGUACUCGCGGCCUAUCAGCUUGUUGGUGAGGUAACGGCUCACCAAGGCAACGACGGGUAGCCGGCCUGAGAGGGCGACCGGCACCACUGGGCUGGGGAAAGGCCCCGGAGUCCAACGGGAGGCAGCGGGGGGAAUUAUUGGAAAAUGGCGAAAGCCUGAUGCAGCGACGCCGCGUGAGGGAUGACGGCCUUCGGGUUGUAAACCUCUUUCAGCAGGGAAGAAGCGAAAGUGACGGUACCUGCAGAAGAAGCACCGGCUAACUACGUG
rnacentral:rRNA from 1 species